UACGUAGGGGGCAAGCAUUGUCCGGAAUUAUUGGGCGUAAAGAGCGUGUAGGCGGUCCGGUAAGUCAGCUGUGAAAGUCAAGGGCUCAACCCCUUGAAAGCCGGUUGAUACUGUCGGGCUAGAGUCCGGAAGAGGCGAGUGGAAUUCCCGGUGUAGCGGUGAAAAUGCGCAGAUAUCGGGAGGAACACCAAUGGCGAAGGCAGCUCGCUGGGACGGUACUGACGC
rnacentral:rRNA from 1 species